AAAAGAAAUUCGGUGCAGGAUGAGUCUGCGUCUGAUUAGCUAGUUGGAGGGGUAAGAGCCCACCAAGGCAACGAUCAGUAGCCGGCCUGAGAGGGCGACCGGCCACAUUGGGACUGAGACACGGCCCAAACUCCUACGGGAGGCAGCAGUGGGGAAUAUUGCACAAUGGGGGAAACCCUGAUGCAGCGACGCCGCGUGAGCGAGGAAGUAUUUCGGUAUGUAAAGCUCUAUCAGCAGGGACGAAAAAAGACGGUACCUGACUAAGAAGCCCCGGCUAACUACGUGCCAGCAGCCGCGGUAAUACGUAGGGGGCAAGCGUUAUCCGGAUUUACUGGGUGUAAAGGGAGCGUAGACGGCAAGGCAAGCCAGAAGUGAAAGGGCAGGGCUCAACCCUGUACAUGCUUUUGGAACUGUGGUGCUAGGGUGCAGGAGAGGUAAGUGGAAUUCCUAGUGUAGCGGUGAAAUGCGUAGAUAUUAGGAGGAACACCAGUGGCGAAGGCGGCUUACUGGACUGUAACUGACGUUGAGGCUCGAAAGCGUGGGGAGCAAACAGGAUUAGAUACCCUGGUAGUCCACGCUGUAAACGAUGAAUACUAGGUGUUGGGGGCUGAAGCCUUCG
rnacentral:rRNA from 1 species